UUGUGUCCCUGCUUUUUGUCAACACCGUCAGACAUUCAUUAAUGUAAUAAAAUCAGGGAAUAUCAGGGGCAGCUGUCACUCUAAAGGAAAAUCGUGUGCCACACUCCACCUCAGCAAAGUACAUCGGUGUCAGACAGGCUCUGACUUUAUUUCAGGACAGCACUUACUUGGUGCUCCACAGUCCACACAGAGGUCGUUCCCUUUGGCAUUUCGAAUGGCCUGCAGGGCAACAGCUUCACUUUGGCUGUUCCUUCGAGCCUGAGAGUUGAAAACUCUGUAAACUUGCAAGGAUCUGGCUUUCAAUGGCCUGAACCCAGGCGUCCCUGUCCUCUUGACUUUGGGCUUCGAAAUGCCAGCUCUGUCCUGUGCUGGAUAUGAUGAUGAAGUCUGCGCUCUCCUCUUCUGUUUGGGAGAGAGCAACAGUUAUUUACACGAGAGGAAGGGAUCAAUAAAAACACCCACUAUGUCCUCGGCCUAAUGUAUCGUCUCAGUAUAAUUAUGUGUUUGAGAGAGACAUGAACACAGACAGAAACACUCAGACCCAUUUGCUGUAAUCUAAUGAAGUGACAAGAGACGGACAUGGACACAUACUGCAGAAUAGACAGCUAGACAGAGUCAGCUCAGCCACUCGUUUCAUACAUUCA